rnacentral:RNase_P_RNA from 2 species
GUGGAGGGAAGCUCAGUGCUGAGGCUACAGAAAGAGUGUAGGGGUCACUCUAUGUGCCCUCAGGGAAGGUCUGAGACUGGAGCUCCUAGUUGCCCCUGCGGGGCACCCCUUGGAUGAAGGGGGUGGGUCCCCAGAGAACUUGGCUCUGAUUGCCCAGUGAGUGCAAAAGAUGCAGCAAGUACCCAAUGUUGUGCUUCUGCAGAUGCAAAGGCAUCAGGCUUGGCACUGCCCCACAGCUGGCACAUUCAAGCUCAAUGGCUGAGAGGGAACUGCCUGUGGUUUCCCAACCCAAUUCAGACUACUCUCCCUCCAC